rnacentral:lncRNA from 1 species
GUUUAGUUGUGUAAGUUGUGUGUAUUAAGUAAUAAUUUUUACCGGACCUUUAAAACAAAUACAUGAAGACUUGUAGAAAUAACUAUAAAAUGAGUGACAAUUCUAAGUAUUUGGGCUUUAAUGGGUUUUAAACGAAUUUAUGUAUUUCUUAUAAGAAGACAAUAGCAUUGGCUUGUUGACAUUGGGCAUGUAAGCUAUUUUCAUAAAACAAGAGGAGUAAGCAGAUGGAGAUGUUGUUGCCGGCUUUGUGUCUUCGGAAUUGUCUUUUGUAUCUCCUAGUGUGGUUGUGUUUGUUUCUCUUUUAUUUGAUGGGUAAUAUGUAAACAAAAAUCAUUGUUAGUUGUAUUUAUCAGAGUUGAUAAUUUACUCUACUUUUUUGUUUAGGUAAUUUCACUGAUCUUGGAUGUCGUCAUCGUCUUCUUCGUAAGAAUUUGCGAAAGUAAGUUUGUAAAUUGUUAAAUAGCUGGCCGCGUAGUUGGUAUUUGUUUAGUUGACUCGAUGUAUGUGUCGUUGAUUUUUAGUUGAGGUGAUUGGUUUGGUAUAUUUCUUUUGAAGUUUAUUUGUUAGAUUAGAAAAGAAAGAGAGGUGAUCAUUAAUAAUCCGUUUUUUUUUAAUUCAAGUUUUUGGUGUUUUGAUUGUUUAGGUUGUUAUGGUUUCUUAUAAGCUGU